rnacentral:rRNA from 1 species
CCUACGGGAGGCAGCAGUGGGGAAUAUUGCACAAUGGGGGGAACCCUGAUGCAGCGACGCCGCGUGAGUGAAGAAGUAUUUCGGGAUGUAAAGCUCUAUCAGCAGGGAAGAAAAUGACGGUACCUGACUAAGAAGCCCCGGCUAACUACGUGCCCGCAGCCGCGGUAAUACGUAGGGGGCAAGCGUUAUCCGGAUUUACGGGGGGGAAAGGGAGCGUAGACGGCAGAGCAAGUCGGAAGUGAAAGCCCGCGGCCCAACUGCGGGACUGCUUUGGAAACUGCCCGGCUAGAGUGCUGGAGAGGUAAGCGGAAUUCCUCGUGUAGCGGUGAAAUGCUUAGAUAUUAGGAGGACCCCCAGUGGCGACGGCGGCUUACUGGACAGUACCUGACGUUGAGGCUCGAAAGCGUUGGGAGCAAACAGGAUUAGAUACCCCAGUAGUC